AGUUACUUUUGGAUCAUCUCUGGCUCUUCAGGUGUGCUCGUGUAGUCCACUCGGUUUGCCCCUCGCCUUGACACUCGUCUGCGAUUGCUUGAUGAUGCGUCUCCUCUGCACUUCAGGGAGAUCCAGGAAGGAGGCGAGUACGACGGUGGCAGAGGAGGAGGAUGAAGGAAUAGGCCGGGGAAGUCUAAGAAGAAAAGGGGCGGCACCGUCGUACUGAAACUCAAGGUGAAGGUUUCUCCGCCCCUGCUCUCACCGUGGGCAUGCAUGGAUUUCUGAUAAGUGACUGCUCUGCCGCUCAUCAGGCUGCCGACCUGCUGGUGCGUGCAAACGUGCUCUACUUGGACCCAGAGUUUGUUGCCGAGAUAGCAUAAGUGGAAGGCUGUGAAGGACAUAUUUCUUUCUUAUUUUAUAAAGAUUUAGUUCGUGCAGAAAUUUGGUUUUUGAUGCAUUCAAACAUUAAUAAUCAGCAGCGACAUCAAAGGUGAGAGGUGAAAAGAAGUUAUGUUGGUAGAUGGUUAUGCAUCUACUGGUUCUGAGAUGCAAGUUGUGACUUGAUAGCUCCCUUGACUCAGAUGUCAUGUCAUCUAAUUGGGCAAUCAUAUUUAAUUGUUGAAUGUGUUCAAUCUGGUUGGGGAUAAUCCACCACCUAAGAGGAUCAAGGUCUCUAAAAUAUUGUUGUUUGUUUUGUUAUCAGUUGUAAAUUCUAUUCCAAGUUCCUUGCUUAUAUGUGUAUGUUCAUCAACAAUUAGAGAAAAAAGAAAUGAAAGGGUCGCUUAUCAA